GGCAUUUUAGCCCUAGCAGAGGAUGUGGAGGCAGGAUCUGCUGACCCAGAGCAUGUAACAAAUAAAGCAGAGGAAUUGAUUGAAGCUGUUGGACUUAUUUCCGCACUUUCCGACCAAGAUAUUGACCGCAGAGUGACUGCAAAUUUAGAAGACGUACUCUACGGCUUCUCCGGUACCAGGGCGCAACAGGCACAACACACACAGGGACCGGAGCGUUUGGCGUUUGACAUACCGAGUGCAGUCCUGGAGCAUCAAGUUCUUUGUGGAUUGCCAGCUGGACAAAUUGCAGCGAUGUUUGGAGUGUCAAAGAGGACCAUCAGGAGGCGCAUGAAACAAAGCGGUUUAAGAAAGACAGACCUCUAUUCUACUGUGAAUGAUGAGGAGUUAUAUAAGUGAAAUUCACAGAAGCCAUCCAAACACCGGCUACAAGCUAAUGCGUGGUCAUCUGAUUGCAAGAGGUGUGCAUGUCCCAAGUGAUGCUGCUCGAGUCGAUGCAGAGGGAGUCUACACGAGACGACGGCAGUAUUCUGUACCUGGCCCAAACUCUUUGUGGCAUAUAGACGGCAACCAUAAACUCAUCAGGUG